AUACGUAGGUGGCGAGCGUUGUCCGGAAUUACUGGGUGUAAAGGGCGCGUAGGCGGGGGAGUAAGUCAGAUGUGAAAGCCCAUGGCUCAACUGUGGGACUGCACCUGAAACUACUUUUCUUGAGUGCUGGAGAGGAAAGCGGAAUUCCUAGUGUAGCGGUGAAAUGCGUAGAUAUUAGGAGGAACACCAGUGGCGAAGGCGGCUUUCUGGACAGUAACUGACGCUGAGGCGCGAAAGCGUGGGUAGCAAACAGGAUUAGAUACCCUGGUAGUCCACGCCGUAAACGAUGGAUACUAGGUGUAGGAGGUAUCGACCCCUUCUGUGCCGGAGUAAACACAAUAAGUAUCCCACCUGGGGAGUACGGCCGCAAGGUUGAA
rnacentral:rRNA from 1 species